GUAACUUUAAUUUUUUCUUACUAUUGUUCACAGUAACAAGGCUGUUACAAGUUUCUACAAUGACGUGAAGGAAUACUAUGGAAAGACACUGAAGAAGACAUCUGACCUGAAAAGCAAUGCCUGUGUUCUGUCUGCCAAGCCUGUCCCUGAAUACAUGAGAAAAGUGAUAGCUGAGAUCCAUCCAGAUGUCGUUGCAAAGUGACGUUUACUUCGAUAAAUGUUGUGAUGAUUUAGUUAAUACAUACAUGUGUAAGAUGUCUUUGAGGUAAAACAAAGUAACAUGGAACAUAAUGACCUUAAUAAGCUCACAAACCAUACAAGCCCACUUGUAGUUUCAGUAUGAACUAUUAAAUAAGAAAGAAAGACAAGUGAUAUAUUGAAAUUAGAAUCAAAUGCAGUUUGAUUUAAUUUAUUUCCUUGGUAUAUUUAUGUAUUUGGAA